rnacentral:rRNA from 1 species
AUUGAACGCUGGCGGCAUGCCUAACACAUGCAAGUCAAGCGAGGUGUAGCAAUACAUCUAGCGGCGGACGGGUGAGGAAUACAUAGGAAUUUGCCUUUAAGUGGGGGAUAGCCCGGGGAAACUCGGAGUAAUACCGCAUGAUGUCGAAAGACCAAAGCAGGGGACCGCAAGGCCUUGCGCUUUUAGAGAAGCCUAUGUCGGAUUAGCUAGUUGGUGAGGUAAUGGCUCACCAAGGCAACGAUCCGUAGCUGGUUUGAGAGAACGAUCAGCCACACCGGAACUGAGACACGGUCCGGACUCCUACGGGAGGCAGCAGUGGGGAAUAUUGGACAAUGGGCGAAAGCCUGAUCCAGCAAUGCCGCGUGUGUGAAGAAGGCCU